GGAUUAGAUUCUGUGUCUGUAUUUUUCUUGUAUUAACACAUACUUGCUUAACUUCAUUUCUAAGCUGGCAAAUAAGAUCAUUUCUUAGUUCAACUCUAUCCUCUAAUUCACAGACUGUUUCUGACUGUUUACAGCAUGUGCUCUCUGUUACAUUGUUACACUGUUCAUUUAAAUCUGAUUUGUCUUCUGUUAACCCAUUCAAAUCUACUUCUUUUUCUGAUGAUUCUAAAUUGUCUUGACCUGCAUUACGUUUACAAAUCAAUGCACUGUAAGUACAGACUAGUUUCAUAACAUUUCUGAUCUUAUUUUUUUUUUCUUAUUAACAUACAAUUUCUUGUCAAUUUCACUAUUGGCAAUUUCACAUUGUGUGUAUAAAGAUUGCCACAAUACAGCAUCUGAAUAGCUGCUAUUAUAUGCAAACUGCAAUUUACUUUUCUCUGCAAUAUCAUUUAUGAAUUCCACAAUUCAUUUGUUCCAACAAAAUCUAACUUUCCUUAUUCCAACAUGCCAAUAACCUCUUACUUAACAACAUAUACAAGAUUACACAAAGUUCCUAACUAGGUUAUUCGUCCAGCAAAUAUACCUUGUUUCCCUCACAUUCCUCACUGAGUUUACAAGCAUUUCACCCAUUCACCCCACCCCCCUGUAGCCAAUACUCAUAGCAGUCAGAGCAAGAGAAAGCAACAAAGAAGGAGGGGGAGGAGGGAGGAAGACUUGCAAGCACAAAGUUUUUUAACCAUGUGAUUGCCUAAGCACAGCUCUCCUUAGGACAAAAGAUAGAAUAGGAGAGUAACGAUACAAAUUGUAUAGAUUACAAUUAACAUAUAUGGUACCCAACAAGACAUACACAGACAAAAGCACAAAAUACAGAUGUAAUUAAAUCACAAAGUUCUUAAAAUAAAUGCCGGCUUAUAAUAACUCAAAUCACA